rnacentral:rRNA from 1 species
UAACGAAUAUUGGGCAAUGGGCGAAAGCCUGACCCAGCGAUGCCGCGUAUAGGAUGAAGUUCUUCGGAAUGUAAACUAUUGUCAGGGGCUAGAAAGCCGUAAGGUUGAUCAGCCCCAGAGGAAGUCACGACUAACUUCGUGCCAGCAGUCGCGGUAAUACGAAGGUGACAAGCGUUAUUCGAAAUCACUGGGCUUAAAGGGUGCGCAGGCGGAAAUGUAAGUGUCUUGUGAAAUACCUUGGCUUAACCAAGGCAUUGCUCGGCAUACUGCAUUUCUUGAGGCAAGUAAGGGUGUGUGGAACUCUUGGUGGAGCGGUGGAAUGCGUAGAUAUCAAGAGGAACGCCGAAGGUGAAGACAGCACACUGGACUUGUCCUGACGCUCAUGCACGAAAGCGUGGGGAGCAAACA